rnacentral:rRNA from 1 species
UACGUAGGUGGCAAGCGUUAUCCGGAUUUAUUGGGUUUAAAGGGUGCGCAGGCGGUCUGUUAAGUCAGCGGUCAAAGCCCGGGGCUCAACCCCGGCCCGCCGUUGAAACUGGGGAUCUAGAGUGUGCGAGAGGUAUGCGGAAUGCGUGGUGUAGCGGUGAAAUGCAUAGAUAUCACGCAGAACUCCGAUUGCGAAGGCAGCGUACCGGCGCCAGACUGACGCUGAGGCACGAAAGCGUGGGGAUCGAACAGG